CCUACGGGUGGCAGCAGUCGAGAAUCAUUCACAAUGGGGGAAACCCUGAUGGUGCGACACCGCGUGGGGGAAUGAAGGUCUUCGGAUUGUAAACCCCUGUCAUGUGGGAGCAAAUUAGAAAGAUAGUCCCACAAGAGGAAGAGAUGGCUAACUCUGUGCCACCAACCGCGUGCAUACAGCGGUCUCAAGCGUUGGUUGGCAUAACUGGGCGUAAGGUGUGCGGAGGCUGGUUCGUAAGUCGGGUGUGAAAGGCGCGGGCUCAACCCCCGGACGGCACAUGAUACUGCGAGACUAGAGUAAUGGAGGGGGAACCGGAAUUCUCGGUGUAGCAGUGAAAUGCGUAGAUAUCGAGAGGAACACUCGUGGCGAAGGCGGGUUCCUGGACAUUAACUGACGCUGAGGCACGAAGGCCAGGGGAGCGAAAGGGAUUAGAUACCCUGGUAGUC
rnacentral:rRNA from 1 species